rnacentral:rRNA from 1 species
GACGAACGCUGGCGGCGUGCCUAAUACAUGCAAGUAGAACGCAGUUGCGCACGGGUGAGUAACGCGUAGGUAACUGCCUCAUAGUGGGGGAUAACUAUUUGAAACGAUAGCUAAUACCGCAUACUUUGAGACGGACCUGCGUUGUAUUAGGUAGUUGGUGAGGUAAAGGCUCACCAAGGCGACGAUACAUACCCGACCUGAGAGGGAGAGCGGCCAAACUGGAACUGAGACAAGGCCCAGACUCCUGCGGGAGGCAGCCGUAGGGAAUCUUCGGCAACUGACGGAAGUCUGAACGAGCAACGCCGCGUGAGUGAAGAAGGUUUUCGGAUCGUAAAGCUCUGUUGUUAGAGAAGCGGUACCUAACCAUAAAGGGACGGCUAACUACGUGCCAGCAGCCGCGGUAAUUC